AAUCGGAACGCUCGCCAUUUAAUAGUCGUUUAUAGAUUUCGAGAAAAGCAUUAUAAUCAACUACAGAUUAUCUGUGUGAUAAGCUUAAUACUUUCAACUUUCAAAAUGGUCGAUUUCUUUAAUAAAUUAAAGUUCAAAUAAGCAUUUUCGUUAUCGCACUUUGUUAUACUGUAGUUAUUGAAAAAUGUGUAUGUGUAGAACCUUGACCGCUUUUGGGUUACGUCUAGAGGUCAUUUAUCCGUUUAUUUACAUGAAAAGCAAAGUCCGAACGAAAUUCGAAGAUGGAUAAGAUUUUAAAGGGAAUUAUGAAGUACAGGUGUACCGUUAGGGAGACUAUGGUGCAACAGUUUGUUAAAGUUAAAGAUAAUCCAACGCCAGAUGCCGUCUUCUUCACCUGCAUAGACAGCAGGAUGAUACCAACGAGGUUUACACAAACCAACGUGGGAGACAUGUUCACAGAAAUGCGGGUAAUAUGGUCCCACACGCAAGCUGCUUUCCUGACGAACAAAAUUCCAAUGAACCAGCUGCCUUGGAGCUUGGCUGUGUAGUCAAUGAUAUAAGGCAUAUUAUAGUUUGUGGACAUAGUGACUGUAAAGCUAUUAAUUUGCUCUAUAAACUUAGAGAUCCGGAAUUUGCAUCCAAGGAAAACAGACGAUUGUCCCCUUUAAGAUCAUGGCUUUGUACCCACGCCCAAACCUCCAUAGACAAAUUCAAUGAUCUAGAAUCUCGGGAUUUCAAUGGGCAUUUAGUGUUUCAAGCAGAGACCCCCCUAAGGAAAUUCAUAGCGUAC
rnacentral:misc_RNA from 1 species